GGCUCCUUGGUCUAAAGGUCAGGACGUCGGCCUCUCAAGUCGGAAAUGACGGGUUCAAGUCCCGCAGGAGCUA
rnacentral:tRNA from 1 species